GACGAACGCUGGCGGCGUGCUUAACACAUGCAAGUCGAACGGAAAGGACCUGCUUUUGUGGGGUGCUCGAGUGGCGAACGGGUGAGUAACACGUGAGUAACCUGCCCUUGACUUUGGGAUAACUUCAGGAAACUGGGGCUACUACCGGAUAGGAGCUCCUGCUGCAUGGUGGGGGUUGGAAAGUUUCGGCGGUCGGGGAUGGACUCGCGGCUUAUCAGCUUGUUGGUGGGGUAGUGGCUUACCAAGGCUUUGACGGGUAGCCGGCCUGAGAGGGUGACCGGCCACAUUGGGACUGAGAUACGGCCCAGACUCCUACGGGAGGCAGCAGUGGGGAAUAUUGCACAAUGGGCGGAAGCCUGAUGCAGCAACGCCGCGUGCGGGAUGACGGCCUUCGGGUUGUAAACCGCUUUCGCCUGUGACGAAGCGUGAGUGACGGUAAUGGGUAAAGAAGCACCGGCUAACUACGUG
rnacentral:rRNA from 1 species